rnacentral:rRNA from 1 species
AUUGACCGCUGGCGGCAGGCCUAACACAUGCAAGUCGAGCGAGCGGCGGACGGGUGAGUAAUGUAUGGGGACUGCCCGAUAGAGGGGGAUAACUACUGGAAACGGUGGCUAAUACCGCAUACUAUCGGAUAACCCAUAUGGGAUUAGCUAGUAGGUGGGGUAAAGGCUCACCUAGGCGACGAUCACUAGCUGGUCUGAGAGGAUGAUCAGCCACACGGGGACUGAGAAACGGCCCAGACUCCUACGGAGGCAGCAGUGGGGAAUAUUGCACAAGGGGGGCAAGCCUGAUGCAGCCAAGCCGCGUGUAUGAAGAAGGCCUUAGGGUUGUAAAGUACUUGCAGCGGGGAGGCGGUAAGCGAAGAAGAAGCACCGGCUAACUCCGUGCCAGCAGCCGCGGUAAUAG